rnacentral:rRNA from 1 species
GACGAACGCUGGCGGCGUGCUUAACACAUGCAAGUCGAACGGUGAAAGUGGAGCUUGCUCCGCUGGAUCAGUGGCGAACGGGUGAGUAACACGUGGGCAACCUGCCCCUGACUUCGGGAUAACUCCUCGAAAGAGGUGCUAAUACCGGAUACGAAUCCUGCAGGCAUCUGCGGGAUUGGAAAGUUUUUCGGUCAGGGAUGGGCCCGCGGCCUAUCAGCUUGUUGGUGAGGUAGUGGCUCACCAAGGCGACGACGGGUAGCCGGCCUGAGAGGGCGAGCGGCCACCCUGGGACUGUGACACGGCCCCGACUCCUACGGGAGGCAGCAGUGGGGAAUAUUGCCCAAUGGGCGCAAGCCUGAUGCAGCAGCGCCGCGUGAGGGAUGACGGCCUUCGGGUUGAAAAACUCUUUUAGUAGGGAAGAAGCGAAAGUGACGGUACCUGCAGAAAAAGCACCGGCUGACUACGUGCCAGCCGCCGCCGUAA